AAUGUACUCCAUCCGUCCAACAAAAGAUGUCUUAGUUUUGAUCAAAUUUGAAUGCAUCUAUACACCAAGUCAUAUCUAGAUGCAUUCAAAUUUUGACAAUAGACAUCUUUUGUUGGACGGAUGAAGUAUGUC
rfam:Brachypodium distachyon strain Bd21 chromosome 3, whole genome shotgun sequence.